UUAAACAAGGAAGUGAAGACAACGUUUCGGCUCCUCUCUGAGACCUGGUAAAGGCCGAAACGUUGUCUCCACUUCCUUGUUUCAAAUAAAGACUG